GGGUUUUCUUAAAAUGUCACCAUUACUUUAAUUUUUGGAUUUUCCUACUGCUUACCUUUGAAAACUACAGACCCCUCAUACAAAGUUCUAAACGAAGUUCUUAUUUGCCUACUAACUGUUCGAUACAAUGUUCCAAUGGCAAUUUGAAAUUAAUUCAACUCGAUAUUGCACAAAUGAUUCUAAAAGAGAUAGAGACAUGGUUCCUUUACUCCUGUGGAACUAAAUGAUACUUAAAAUGAAUGGAAAAGAAAAGGAUAAGUAAAUUAUUCAUGUUGCACAAAUGAUUCCUGCUGAUUAUGGAAUAAGUAAAAAUUAGAUAUGCCUAUGCUCCUGUGGAACUAACGAUUCUUACAAAGAAUGGAAAAGAAAGGGACUUGGGUUAUUCUUUCCUACCUUGAAUGGAUGACUACGUUGUAUGGACUGCCUUUUGUGAAUUUGUUGAAUUUGGAGCGAAACAGUUGGUUUAAGAGGUUUUGUAUUAACUAAUUUUCACGACCAAAACUCCAGUUAUUGGUAAUCUAACAAUAUAGUUGGUUAUUGCUAUGUUUAUAAUCUAAAGUGUACAAUGAUGGAAAUAAUUCUUAUGUGCACUGUCCUAUCUUUCUGUAUAGGAGCGGUGAAAAAUGAUGCAAUGUUUGCCAGAAGUUUCAAGCGUCGGCGUCCAAAACUUGCCUAACAAAUUGCCGUCGACCUCUCAUUCCAAAUUUCCCACUCCGUCAACACGCAUAGCCGCCGAGGAGGAGGAGUCCACAGUACCCAUAGAAGUUCCACAACCAGACUGCCAACGAACAUUGUCGAGGUUGUGGUAAGAUGAAAAUGAACACUGAUGACAGUGCUCAAGGAAGCUCAAGCCAAGCAGGUUUCAAAGGGUUAAACCAAGAGGAAUGAGGUCUAUGGGUGGUGAAAUUUUAUGGGCUUCUCGAAGAUUGUACCAGCCUAGAAGCAAAACUUUUGGGGAUUUGGACAUGAAAUGCAUGGUGUUGAUCUAGAAUCAAAUCCUCAGAUUGCGUCGACUCUCAUAAAUGAAGGAACUCCAGAAAAUUCCCCAUACUCUUCAACAAGGAAAUCGAGUAGCUGAAUGUUUAGCUAAAAUGCAUGGGAAUCAAGCAGGAGACUUGGCUGGUGACGCUGAUUACUCUUCCUUCCAAUCGAGGUUUUAGACAAGUUAGCCACAGAUGUUCAAGAAACGAAAGUUAUAGAGUAUUUUAUUUGUAGCAUGUUUUAAAAUAUGUUCUCAAUCUUGCACUUUAUCCUCAAAAUUUUAAAAGAUGGUCAAGAUCAAUAUGGUACAUCCAUCCAAAAACUCAUAUGAAGAUUUGAAUCCUAUUUUGUGGAAAAAAAUACAAUAUGUUAAUACCAAACCGAACCUAAAAUCCCAAAUAAAUGGGUCAAUGAAACAAAUGGUUUGUUUUGUUUCAAUUUAAAAAAAUAUAUAUGUCUGCACAAUUACAUCACUACAUCUAAGUGGAUGUCUAGAUAACGCAAAGGAAGAGCAAAUGGUUCGUUUCGUUUCAAAGUAGAAUUUCUUUUAAUUGAAAGAACUCCACGUGCAAAGCACGUACACAUCUACUAGUUUGUGUAAAAUACUGAAAAAUUCCCAGGUUCUACUGAUAGAUCCUUUUCUCCUAUCGCUAGGUUUCCGGUAUUGUCUCCGGUGUCUAAAAUGUUGACCCUUCUGGAAUCGAUUUGUACCAGUAGGAUCAACAUCCCUAUCAAUAGGUCUUCUGUCAUGGUUCUGUUUUAGGUACUGGGACCUUGUGUUGUGUUUCCAAUAAAAUUCCUUACUUCGCCUUUGUUUGGUUUCCAUUUUUUAGUAUUUUAAUUUUGAUAGUUGGUGGAGAGAGAAAUAAGAUAAUGAUUGAAAAAAUGGGUAAUGAAAGAGAGAUAGAGAGAUAAAUGAAAAUAAUAAUUGAAAAAGUAAGAUAAUGAUUGAGGGAGAAAUAAAAUAAUGAUUAGAAAAUAAAAACAAAACAAAGAUAAACUUGAAAACGAACAAAGCUGAGUCAAAUAGCAUCAUUGUAUGUACGGUAUCUUACACACAAAUUGUUGAACUUGUAUGAUUCAUCAAAUCUUAACGCGAGGAUUAUGAUAUGUUUUGCAUGAAUUUGUGUAUGAAUAGGACACUUGAACACAUAUACAAAAUGAGAAUAUUCUAGAUCCACUGACGGGUUAUGUGCCAGGCGGGGGUAUCGGAAUUCCUUAACAGCCCCAACAGAAACAAUCGUUCGUAAUGUAUUCAGGAUCCACCAAUGGGUGAGGUGUCUUGUAGGGGGUAUCGGAAUCUCUUAUUAGGCCCGGCAGGAGCAUUCACUUAUGACACA